GUUCCACACGCGCCCUGUAGAGGGGACACUUGAGGGAACAUCAUUCUCAAAGACGGUGAGGCGUUACUACAUGUUUCCAUCUGUUUUUGAAUGGUUUUGCUAGUCUCACUUUUAAAUAAAUGUACCGUCCUAUUUCUUAGCAAACAAAUUCCCCUAAUAAUGCAAUGCAAGCGUCGAUGAGCUAAUAGAACAUCAGAGAUCUUCGAAUCCAUAAUUGUUUGAGAUCAAUGAUCAGAAUAUUGUGACAUAGAAAGAAAGAAAUGGGUACAUAAUAUAACAUCAGAAUGUUAGGACUAUGUGAUGAAACUGCUUAUAUGCGUUUAUUAAAGCUAUAAAAGGAAACCACAACAGCCAUGCAGGAACUAUGAUUUUGACGUCACUUCCGGGAAGUUGUGACACUGUCACAUGAUGAAAUACAUGUUUUACCGCUCUAUUACAAUGAUUUUAUGUAUAAUAGAGUUUUAAUUGAUUUGCAUGUUUUUUUUAGUCCAUUUUUCCUCUUAGUGGUUUUAAUGCGUGUAUGUCUUUAAAUGAGUCUGGGUCUGCCUGUCAUGUGACUGAUCACAUGACAGGAAUCAGGAAGUAAGCAAGCAUAAAGGAGGCAGCAUGGCAAACAAACAGGGCCAUUAAGCAAAUCGACCACAAGCUGGAUUGAGGAGUUUCAUUUUAUGGACUUACCUUUCCAGCAAACCACAUCACUUUUCUGUUGGAUUAUCACUUUCAGGACUUUGUAAAUACACCAGUGGCCACUUUUACAUUAGGACUUUCAACACACUACAAUUCUUAUGGACUGUUUUAUGAAGCUCAAAGGGGAUUCAGCAGAUCCUGAAGACUCCCUGCAAUGAUGCUGUAUCCUCACCCUGAGUCUCUCUUUGGAUUUUGCAAUCCUUUCUUUGCUCAUUUUUAAUAAACCUUUAAUAAACAUUAAA